UAUAGUUUCAGCAAGAGGUUCUUUUAUGGAAUUGUCAACAAAACUGGAGAACGGUGAGGGUAGAGGGAAUUUCCGCUGGAGCGAUGAAAUGUGUAGAGAUCGAAAAGAAUGUCAACAGCGAAAGCACUCGCUGGCAAACACUGACAUUGAGAGACGAAAGCUAGGAUAGUGAAUGGGAUUAAAUACCCCGAUAAUCCUAGCCGUAAAUGGUGGAUACUAGGCGUUGUUCUUAUCGACCCGUGCAAUGUUGUAGCUAACAUAUUAAGUAUCCC
rnacentral:ncRNA from 1 species